rnacentral:rRNA from 1 species
UACGAAGGGGGCUAGCGUUGCUCGGAAUCACUGGGCGUAAAGCGCACGUAGGCGGAUUGCUAAGUCAGGGGUGAAAUCCUGGAGCUCAACUCCAGAACUGCCUUUGAUACUGGCAACCUUGAGUCCGGGAGAGGUGAGUGGAACUGCGAGUGUAGAGGUGAAAUUCGUAGAUAUUCGCAAGAACACCAGUGGCGAAGGCGGCUCACUGGCCCGGUACUGACGCUGAGGAGCGAAAGCCAGGGGAGCAAACGGG